rnacentral:rRNA from 1 species
UCCGUAGGUGAACCUGCGGAAGGAUCAUUGUCGAAGCCUAGAAAGCGCGACCGCGGAUUAGUUUACAAUCGGGUGAAAGUCUUUGGACCCCUUGGGCCCUAAGGCGCGUACUCGCUCGGCUGGCGAGCAGACAAACAUUUGCUCGUCUUCCGAAUUUAACGAACCCCCGGCGCGGUCAGCGCCAAGGAAUCAAAAAGAAAAGAACUCGCGACCUCCAUCCGGUUUAUCCGGAUGCGAGGGUUUGUAUGUUCAAAAAAUAUCAUAACGACUCUCGGCAACGGAUAUCUCGGCUCUCGCAUCGAUGAAGAACGUAGCAAAAUGCGAUACUUGGUGUGAAUUGCAGAAUCCCGUGAAUCAUCGAGUCUUUGAACGCAAGUUGCGCCCGAGGCCUUUAGGUUGAGGGCACGUCUGCCUGGGCGUCAUGCAUUGCGGUGCCCCCCAUACAUGUAUGUGGGGUGAAUCUUGGCCUCCCGUAAGAUCUAACUUGCGGUUGGCUUAAACACGAGCUUCAAGACCGGAAAAUGUCUCGACAAGUGGUGGUUGGAUGGGCCUUGGCCUUAAAACUUAGCACGUCUGAGCCAUUUUCUUUUCUAAUGCUGGAAAAGACCUUAAUGGAGUGCCUUAGUCGUGCUUCAGCACUGUGACCCCAGGUCAGGCGGGACUACCCGCUGAGUUAA